UCAGUCGACUCCUACGGGGAGGCAGCAGUGGGGAAUAUUGCACAAUGGGGGAAACCCUGAUGCAGCCAUGCCGCGUGUGUGAAGAAGGCCUUCGGGUUGUAAAGCACUUUCAGUAGGGAGGAAGGUAGUGCAGUUAACACCUGCAUUAUUUGACGUUACCUACAGAAGAAAGCACCGGCUAACUCCGUGCCAGCAGCCGCGGUAAUACGGAGGGUGCGAGCGUUAAUCGGAAUUACUGGGCGUAAAGCGCAUGCAGGCGGCCUGUUAAGUCAGAUGUGAAAGCCCGGGGCUUAACCUCGGAAUUGCAUUUGAAACUGGCAGGCUAGAGUCUUGUAGAGGGGGGGUAGGAAUUUCAGGUGUAGCGGUGAAAUGCGUAGAGAUCUGAAGGAAUACCAGUGGCGAAGGCGGCCCCCUGGACAAAGACUGACGCUCAGAUGCGAAAGCGUGGGGAGCAAACAGGAUUAGAACCCUGGUAG
rnacentral:rRNA from 1 species